GUGCCCCUACGGGAGGCAGCAGUGGGGAAUAUUGCACAAUGGGGGAAACCCUGAUGCAGCGACGCCGCGUGAGUGAAGAAGUAUCUCGGUACGUAAAGCUCUAUCAGCAGGGAAGAAAAAAAGUCUUUGGCUUUGGACGGUACCUGACUAAGAAGCCCCGGCUAACUACGUGCCAGCAGCCGCGGUAAUACGUAGGGGGCAAGCGUUAUCCGGAUUUACUGGGGGUAAAGGGAGCGUAGACGGCAGCGCACGUCUGGAGUGAAA
rnacentral:rRNA from 1 species